rnacentral:rRNA from 1 species
CGCGUCCCCCCCCCCCCCC